rnacentral:rRNA from 1 species
GCCCGCUCAGAAACUUAAAGGAAGUUGACGGGGCCCGGCACAAGCGGUGGAGUAUGUGGUUUAAUUCGAUGCAACGCGAAGAACCUUACCUGGUCUUGACAUCCCGGAGACCCUUAGGAAACUAGGGGGUGCUUCCAUCUGGAAGAAUCUGGAGACAGGUGCUGCAUGGCUGUCGUCAGCUCGUGUCGUGAGAUGUUGGGUUAAGUCCCGCAACGAGCGCAACCCUUGCCUUUAGUUGCCAGCAGUUCGGCUGGGCACUCUAAAGGGACUGCCGGUGUUAAACCGGAGGAAGGUGGGGAUGACGUCAAGUCCUCAUGGCCUUUAUGACCAGGGCUACACACGUACUACAAUGGCCGAUACAAAGGGCAGCGACACUGCGAGGUGAAGCCAAUCCCGUAAAAUCGGUCUCAGUCCGGAUUGGAGUCUGCAACUCGACUCCAUGAAGUUGGAAUCGCUAGUAAUCGUGAAUCAGAAUGUCACGGUGAAUACGUUCCCGGGCCUU